CCUACGGGUGGCAGCAGUGAGGAAUAUUGGUCAAUGGCCGGAAGGCUGAACCAGCCAAGCCGCGUGAAGGACGAAGGUGCCAAGCAUUGUAAACUUCUUUUGUCAAGGGACAAGAUCAGGCUCGAGAGCCUGACCGAGGGUACUUGAAGAAAAAGCAUCGGCGAACUCCGUGCCAGCAGCCGCGGUCAUACGGAGGAUGCGAGCGGUAUCCGGAUUUAGUGUGUUUAAAGGGUUCGUAGGCGGUGGGAUAAGUUAGAGGUGAAAUCCCGAGGCUCAACUUGUGAAUUGUGUCUGAUACUGUUCGGCUAGAGAGUAGUUGCGGUAGGCGGAAUGUAGGGUGUAGCGGUGAAAUGCUUAGAGAUCAUACAGAACACCGAUUGCGAAGGCAGCUUACCAAGCUACUUCUGACGUUGAGGCACGAAAGCGUGGGGAGCAAACAGGAUUAGAUACCCCUGUAGUC
rnacentral:rRNA from 1 species